AUUGAACGCUGGCGGCAUGCCUUACACAUGCAAGUCGAACGGUAACAGGUCUUCGGAUGCUGACGAGUGGCGAACGGGUGAGUAAUACAUCGGAACGUGCCUAGUAGUGGGGGAUAACUACUCGAAAGAGUGGCUAAUACCUCAUGAGAUCUCCGGAUGAAAGCAGGGGAUCGCAAGACCUUGUGCUACUAGAGCGGCCUAUGACAGAUUAGGUAGUUGGUGGGAUAAAAGCUUACCAAGCCGACGAUCUGUAGCUGGUCUGAGAGGACAAUCAGCCACAUGGGGAGUGAGACACGGACCAGACUCCUGCGGGAGGCAGCAGUGGGGAAUUUUGGACAAUGGGCGCAAGCCUGAUCCAGCAAUGCCGCGUGCAGGAUGAAGGCCUUAGGGUUGUAAACUGCUUUUGUACGGAACGAAAAGCCCCGGGUUAAUACCCUGGGGUCAUGACGGUACCGUAAGAAUAAGCACCGGCUAACUACGUGCCAGCCGCCGCGGUAA
rnacentral:rRNA from 1 species